rnacentral:rRNA from 1 species
CACUGGGACUGAGACACGGCCCAGACUCCUACGGGAGGCAGCAGUGGGGAAUAUUGCACAAUGGGCGCAAGCCUGAUGCAGCAACGCCGCGUGAGGGAUGACGGCCUUCGGGUUGUAAACCUCUUUUAGCAGGGAAGAAGCGAAAGUGACGGUACCUGCAGAAAAAGCGCCGGCUAACUACGUGCCAGCAGCCGCGGUAAUACGUAGGGCGCAAGCGUUAUCCGGAAUUAUUGGGCGUAAAGAGCUCGUAGGCGGUUUGUCGCGUCUGCUGUGAAAUCCGGAGGCUCAACCUCCGGCCUGCAGUGGGUACGGGCAGACUAGAGUGCGGUAGGGGAGAUUGGAAUUCCUGGUGUAGCGGUGGAAUGCGCAGAUAUCAGGAGGAACACCGAUGGCGAAGGCAGAUCUCUGGGCCGUAACUGACGCUGAGGAGCGAAAGGGUGGGGAGCAAACAGGCUUAGAUACCCUGGUAGUCCACCCCGUAAACGUUGGGAACUAGUUGUGGGGUCCAUUCCACGGAUUCCGUGACGCAGCUAACGCAUUAAGUUCCCCGCCUGGGGAGUACGGCCGCAAGGCUAAAACUCAAAGGAAUUGACGGGGACCCGCACAAGCGGCGGAGCAUGCGGAUUAAUUCGAUGCAACGCGAAGAACCUUACCAAGGCUUGACAUAUACGAGAACGGGCCAGAAAUGGUCAACUCUUUGGACACUCGUAAACAGGUGGUGCAUGGUUGUCGUCAGCUCGUGUCGUGAGAUGUUGGGUUAAGUCCCGCAACGAGCGCAACCCUCGUUCUAUGUUGCCAGCACGUAAUGGUGGGAACUCAUGGGAUACUGCCGGGGUCAACUCGGAGGAAGGUGGGGAUGACGUCAAAUCAUCAUGCCCCUUAUGUCUUGGGCUUCACGCAUGCUACAAUGGCCGGUACAAAGGGCUGCAAUACCGCGAGGUGGAGCGAAUCCCAAAAAGCCGGUCCCAGUUCGGAUUGAGGUCUGCAACUCGACCUCAUGAAGUCGGAGUCGCUAGUAAUCGCAGAUCAGCAACGCUGCGGUGAAUACGUUCCCGGGUCUUGUACACACCGCCCGUCAAGUCAUGAAAGUCGGUAACACCUGAAGCCGGUGGCCUAACCCUUGUGGAGGGAGCCGUCG